UGCCGCCCUGAAGGGCGUAUGGUGGAUGCCUUGGCAGACAGUACCGAUGAAGGACGUUUGAGGAUGCGAUAAGCCUCGGGGAGCCUCCAACAUGGCUUCGAUCCGAGGAUUUCCGAAUGGGGCAACCCGCCGGCCGUCAUGGGCCGGCACGGAACCUUGUUGUUCCGGGGGUACGCAGGGAAGUGAAACAUCUCAGUACCUGCAGGAAGGGAUACUCCGUGAGUAGUGGCGAGCGAAAGCGGAUCAGACCAAACCAUGGGCGCGUGAUACCCGUCGGGGGUUGCGUCCGUGGUGUUGUGGGAGCGUGUGUCCCGGUUCCGACGGACCGGGCGGGAGUCAUAAAACGGCUUGCCAGGGGAACAGGCUUGAAGGCCUGGCCGCAGAGGGUGCCAGCCCCGUACCUGGAAGCUUGCCGUCUUCCGAUCAUGUGUCCCAAGUAGCGCGGGCCUCGUGGAAUCCCGUGUGAAUCGGCCCCGACCGUGGGGUAAGUCUAAGCAUACCUGUCUGACCGAUAGCGUACCAGUACCGUGAGGGAAAGGUGAAAAGCACCCCGGGAGGGGAGUGAAAGAGUUCCUGAAACCGUGCGCCUACAAUCCGUCGGAGCCUCCUCAAGUGGGGUGACGGCGUGCCUAUCGAAAAAUGAGUCUGCGAGUCAGUGGUGCGUGGCGAGGCUAACCCGUCGUGGGGGAGCCGUAGCGAAGGCGAGUCUCAAAAGGCGUUUUGAGUCGCGUGCCCUGGACCCGAAGCGGGAUGAUCUAGCCCUGGGCAGGUUGAAGCGCGGGUAAGACCGCGUGGAGGACCGAACCCACCUGGGUUGAAAACCGGGGGGAUGACCUGGGGCUAGGGGUGAAAGGCCAAUCAAAUUCCGUGAUAGCUGGUUCUCUCCGAAAUGCAUUUAGGUGCAGCGUCGGUUGAUUGCAUCGCGGGGGUAGAGCUACUGGAUGCUUGCGGGCCCGUAUGGGGUACCAACAGCAGCCAAACUCCGAAUACCGUUGAUGUGUAUUCCGGCAGUGAGUCGGCGGGGGAUAAGCUCCGUCGUCGAGAGGGAGACAGCCCAGAUCGUCGUCUAAGGUCCCGAAGCGUGUGCUAAGUGGGAAAGGAUGUGGAGUCGCAUAGACAGCCAGGAGGUUGGCUCAGAAGCAGCCAUCCUUGAAAGAGUGCGUAACAGCUCACUGGUCUAGUGGUUCCGCGCCGACAAUGUAGCGGGGCUCAAGCACACCACCGAAGACGCGGCAGCACCUUUUUUGGUGCUGGGUAGGAGAGCGUCCCCCGAGGGGCGAAGCGGCCGCGCAAGCGCGCCGUGGACUUCGGGGGAGUGAGAAUGCAGACAUGAGUAGCGAGAGACGGGUGAGGAUCCCGUCCGCUGGAUGACCAAGGGUUCCGGGGCCACGUUCGUCGUCCCCGGGUGAGUCGGGUCCUAAGGCGAGGCCGACAGGCGUAGUCGAAUGGAUGAACGGGUGGAUAUUCCCGUACCGGCAGCGAACCGCAAGAGCCGAACGGAUGAGUACUAACCUCCGGUCGCGUGGCGUCGUUCCCUUCGGGGUUCGGGGCGUGCGGUUGUUGGGAAUGUAGUCCUGGUAGGUUAGCGCACAGGGGUGACACGGAAUGGGAGCCGGCCGCGGAGGUGGUUUUCCGUGGUCAAGCACGCAGCCCGUCCCAUAGGCAAAUCCGUGGGACAUGAGGGUGAGGUGCGAUGAUGGGCGCCUUUCAGGCGCGAUAUCCGGUGGUCCAGGCCGUCGAGAAAAGCCUCGGCGCGAGGGGCGUUGCCGCCCGUACCCCAAACCGACACUGGUGGUCAGGUAGAGAAUACCAAGGCGAUCGAGCGAAUCCUGGUCAAGGAACUCGGCAAAUCACUCCCGUGCCUUCGGUAUAAGGGAGACCCCUGAUGGUGAUGGAACUUGCUUCCGGAGCUUUCGGGGGUGGCACAGACCAGGGGGUAGCGACUGUUUACCAAAAACACAGGUGCAUGCGAAGGCGCAAGCCGCUGUAUAUGCACUGACGCCUGCCCGGUGCCGGAAGGUUAAGAGGAUCCGUCAGCCCUCGGGUGAAGCGGUGAAUUCAAGCCCCGGUAAACGGCGGUGGUAACUAUAACCAUCCUAAGGUAGCGAAAUUCCUUGUCGGGUAAGUUCCGACCUGCACGAAUGGCGUAACGA
rnacentral:rRNA from 1 species